UACGUAGGUGACGAGCGUUGUCCGGAUUUACUGGGCGUAAAGAGCGUGCAGGCGGUCGUUCAAGUCGAGUGUGAAAGCCCCCGGCUCAACUGGGGAGGGUCACUCGAUACUGAUCGACUCGAAGGCAGGAGAGGGUAGUGGAAUUCCCGGUGUAGUGGUGAAAUGCGUAGAGAUCCGGAGGAACCCCAGAGGCGAAGGCGGCGCCCUGGCUCGCAACUGACGCUCAGACACGACAGCAUGGGGAGCGAACGGG
rnacentral:rRNA from 1 species